UACGAAGGGUGCAAGCGUUAAUCGGAAUUACUGGGCGUAAAGGGCGCGUAGGCGGGCUGCCAAGUCCGUGGUGAAAUCCCCCGGCUCAACCGGGGAAUGGCCUCGGAUACUGGCGGUCUUGAGGGAGGUAGGGGCGUGCGGAACUGUAGGUGGAGCGGUGAAAUGCGUUGAUAUCUACAGGAACUCCGGUGGCGAAGGCGGCACGCUGGACCUCUUCUGACGCUGAGGCGCGAAAGCCAGGGGAGCGAACGGG
rnacentral:rRNA from 1 species